AGCGGCGGAUGGGUGAGUAACACGUGGGGAACCUGCCCCUAAGUCUGGGAUACCAUUUGGAAACAGGUGCUAAUACCGGAUAAUAAAGCAGAUCGCAUGAUCAGCUUUUGAAAGGCGGCGUAAGCCGUCGCUAAGGGAUGGCCCCGCGGUGCAUUAGCUAGUUGGUAAGGUAACGGCUUACCAAGGCGGCGAUGCAUAGCCGAGUUGAGAGACUGAUCGGCCACAUUGGGACUGAGACACGGCCCAAACUCCUACGGGAGGCAGCAGUAGGGAAUCUUCCACAAUGGACGCAAGUCUGAUGGAGCAACGCCGCGUGAGUGAAGAAGGUUUUCGGAUCGUAAAGCUCUGUUGUUGGUGAAGAAGGAUAGAGGUAGUAACUGGCCUUUAUUUGACGGUAAUCAACCAGAAAGUCACGGCUAACUACGUGCCAGCAGCCGCGGUAAUACGUAGGUGGCAAGCGUUGUCCGGAUUUAUUGGGCGUAAAGCGAGCGCAGGCGGAAAAAUAAGUCUAAUGUGAAAGCCCUCGGCUUAACCGAGGAACUGCAUCGGAAACUGUUUUUCUUGAGUGCAGAAGAGGAGAGUGGAACUCCAUGUGUAGCGGUGGAAUGCGUAGAUAUAUGGAAGAACACCAGUGGCGAAAGGCGGCUCUCUGGUCUGCAACUGACGCUGAGGCUCGAAAGCAUGGGUAGCGAACAGGAUUAGAUACCCUGGGUAGUCCAUGCCGUAAACGAUGAGUGCUAAGUGU
rnacentral:rRNA from 1 species